UUUUAAGACUUAUUUCGUCAAAUUCAUUCCGAAAAUUAAGUUGAGGCUAGUAAUUUGUCAAACAGGUUCUUCUAUCGGUCGAUGAAUGCAACAAUCGAAAUGUAAGUGGUAGAUGAUUGAAAUGUUGAAAUGAUGAAGGUUGAUUGAUUG
ensembl:ncRNA F32G8.8 ncRNA